rnacentral:rRNA from 1 species
GUGAGGAAUUUUCCGCAAUGGGCGAAAGCCUGACGGAGCAAUGCCGCGUGAAGGAUGAAGGCCUAUGGGUUGUAAACUUCUUUUCUCAGAAAAGAAUUAUGACGGUAUCUGAGGAAUAAGCAUCGGCUAACUCUGUGCCAACAGCCGCGGUAAGACAGAGGAUGCAAGCGUUAUCCGGAAUGAUUGGGCGUAAAGCGUCUGUAGGUUGUUUAAAAAGUAUUCUGUCAAAGAUUAGGGCUUAACCCUAGAUAGGCAGAAUAAACUUUUAAGCUAGAGGUUGGUAGAGGCAGGAGGAAUUCCCGGUGGAGCGGUGAAAUGCGUAGAUAUCAGGAGGAACACCAAAGGCGAAGGCACUCUGCUGGGCCAAUACUAACACUGAGAGACGAAAGCGAGGGGAGCAAAUGGGAUUAGAUACCCGAGUAGUCC